rnacentral:rRNA from 1 species
UACGAGGGGGCUAGUGUUGUUCGGAAUCACUGGGCUUAAAGGGUGCGUAGGCGGCUGCCUAAGUCAGGUGUGAAAUCUCCCGGCUCAACCGGGGAAACUGCGCUUGAUACUGGGCGGCUCGAGUGAGGUAGGGUGUGUGGAACUUCCGGUGGAGCGGUGAAAUGUGUAGAUAUCGGAAGGAACGCCAGCAGCGAAAGCGGCACACUGGGCCUUUUCUGACGCUGAGGCACGAAAGCCAGGGGAGCGAACGGG